rnacentral:rRNA from 1 species
CAGUAGCCGCGGUAAUACGAAGGGUGCAAGCGUUACUCGGAAUUACUGGGCGUAAAGCGUGUGUAGGUGGUUGUUUAAGUCUGUCGUGAAAGCCCUGGGCUCAACCUGGGAAUUGCGAUGGAUACUGGGCGACUAGAGUGCGGUAGAGGAUAGUGGAAUUUCCGGUGUAGCAGUGAAAUGCGUAGAGAUCGGAAGGAACAUCUGUGGCGAAGGCGACUAUCUGGCCAACACUGACACUGAGACACGAAAGCGUGGGGAGCAAACAGGAUUAGAUACCCCUGUAGUCCCUGUCUCUUAUACA